ACGAACGCUGGCGGCGUGCUUAACACAUGCCAGUCGAACGGAAAGGCCCUGCUUUUGUGGGGUGCUCGAGUGGCGAACGGGUGAGUAACACGUGAGUAACCUGCCCUUGACUUUGGGAUAACUUCAGGAAACUGGGGCUAAUACCGGAUAGGAGCUCCUGCUGCCUGGUGGGGGUUGGAAAGUUUCGGCGGUUGGGGAUGGACUCGCGGCUUAUCAGCUUGUUGGUGGGGUAGUGGCUUACCAAGGCUUUGACGGGUAGCCGGCCUGAGAGGGUGACCGGCCACAUUGGGACUGAGAUACGGCCCAGACUCCUACGGGAGGCAGCAGUGGGGAAUAUUGCACAAUGGGCGGAAGCCUGAUGCAGCAACGCCGCGUGCGGGAUGACGGCCUUCGGGUUGUAAACCGCUUUCGCCUGUGACGAAGCGUGAGUGACGGUAAUGGGUAAAGAAGCACCGGCUAACUACAUG
rnacentral:rRNA from 1 species